ensembl:snRNA U6 U6 spliceosomal RNA
AUGCUGGCCUCAACAGCACAUAUACUAAAACUGGAACAAUACAGAGACGAGCGUGGCCUCUGCAUGAGGAUGACCCGCAAAUUCAUGAAGCGUUCCAUAUAUUU